GGUGGUCUCCAAUCAAACAGAGAAAAGGUCCUGGAGAAGAUGUAUCUUUAAAGCUGUCCUGCUGAAUUGGAAGUCCCUGGAGGGCAGAACUGGCACCCUGUUCAAUCUGGAAUGCCCAGAAAUUCAAUCAACAGAAGUCAGUAUUGAUUUCACACCCUCCUGGACCCCUAUUUGAGUCUCUGUGUGGUGGCCCCUCUCCCCGGAAGUGAAGUCUUCCAGACUAUGAGUUGCUUUGGUCAGAGUUAUUGGAAUGAGAAGAGAGAAUUUGCCUUUUAAUUGGUCUUUUCCAGACUUCUGCCAUCAUGAGCCAUCUUUUCCCAAUUGAGUACUCGAAAGAAGAAAACUGGGCUAGAGAAACAGGAUCUCGGAUGAUUAUAAUUGAAGAGUGUCUAUUGCUCCAGAGCCACAAUCUAUGAGCUAGAAGACAGCUGGGACAGCAAAUUCUUGACUCGCUUAUCAUCAUGUUCCCUUUCCAUGGUCAGCCCAGACUCUGGGCUCCAUCACAACACACUAGUCUGUUCAGCAUGGAGUACCUUUUUUGCCUCUUCUAGUCCAGCCAUCCAGGCAAAUCAAUCAAUACACUAAGUGGCAAUUCAUAAGUGACCCAUCGUGUCAAGCUGGAGAGCAGGAGGGACACCCAGCUUUUUAAAGCGAGCUUAUCAAUCACUGUAUCCCGAAUAAGCAUCUUCAUCCCAGCUACAGAAAAUAGAAGGCUGUAGAAAAGAACAGGAGGCUAGCCAUGCUUUCAACCUUAUUUUAAAGUAAUUAUAUGAAAAAAGUCUGUGUUUAUAAACUAAUAAAUUAUACACUUUUAAAAUGUU
rnacentral:lncRNA from 1 species